rfam:Pichia pastoris GS115 chromosome 4, complete sequence
GGUCUGAUGGUCUAGAGGUAUGAUUCUUUCUUAGGGAGGAAGAGGUCCCGGGUUCGAUUCCCGGUCAGACCC